CGGAGCUUGGGCGACCAUAAGCGAUUCCGUAUUCAUCCCAUCCGCUUUUUACAGCUACAAGAUCAUCUCCAGUGGAAAUGUAUGAAUCUUCUAUGCAGACGUUAGAGCUUGAAUCUGCGUUGAAUUAUUGAUGAAUUGUACAUGUACAUAUCUCCCCGAAGCAAAAGUGACGGUAAACUUAGAU